UACGUAGGGUGCAGGCGUUAAUCGGAAUUACUGGGCGUAGAGCGUGCGCAGGCGGUUUGUUAAGACAGAUGUGAAAAUCCCCGGGCGUUAACCUGGGAACGUGCGUUUGUUAACUGGCAGACUGGAGUGUGGCAGAGGGGGGUGGAAUUCCAAGUGUAGCAGUGAAAUAGCGUAGAUAUUUGGUAGGAACACCGAUGGCGAAGGCAGCCCCCUCGGGNGUAACACUGACGCUCAUGCACG
rnacentral:rRNA from 1 species